rnacentral:rRNA from 3 species
GGGUAGUUUGACUGGGGCGGUCUCCUCCUAAAGAGUAACGGAGGAGCACGAAGGUUGGCUAAUCCUGGUCGGACAUCAGGAGGUUAGUGCAAUGGCAUAAGCCAGCUUGACUGCGAGCGUGACGGCGCGAGCAGGUGCGAAAGCAGGUCAUAGUGAUCCGGUGGUUCUGAAUGGAAGGGCCAUCGCUCAACGGAUAAAAGGUACUCCGGGGAUAACAGGCUGAUACCGCCCAAGAGUUCAUAUCGACGGCGGUGUUUGGCACCUCGAUGUCGGCUCAUCACAUCCUGGGGCUGAAGUAGGUCCCAAGGGUAUGGCUGUUCGCCAUUUAAAGUGGUACGCGAGCUGGGUUUAGAACGUCGUGAGACAGUUCGGUCCCUAUCUGCCGUGGGCGCUGGAAGAUUGAGGGGGGCUGCUCCUAGUACGAGAGGACCGGAGUGGACGCAUCACUGGUGUUCGGGUUGUCAUGCCAAUGGCACUGCCCGGUAGCUACAUGCGGAAGAGAUAAGUGCUGAAAGCAUCUAAGCACGAAACUUGCCCCGAGAUGAAUCUUCCCUGAGCCUUUAAGGCUCCUGAAGGAACGUUGAAGACGACGACGUUGAUAGGCCGGGUGUGUAAGCGCAGCGAUGCGUUGAGCUAACCGGUACUAAUGAACCGUGAGGCUUAACCUUACAACGCCGAA